CCUACGGGUGGCAGCAGUGAGGAAUAUUGGUCAAUGGUCGGGAGACUGAACCAGCCAAGCCGCGUGAGGGAUGAAGGUACAGAGUAUCGUAAACCUCUUUUGUCAGGGAACAAAGGCGGGGACGUGUCCCCGGAUGAGUGUACCUGAAGAAAAAGCAUCGGCUAACUCCGUGCCAGCAGCCGCGGUAAUACGGAGGAUGCGAGCGUUAUCCGGAUUUAUUGGGUUUAAAGGGUGCGCAGGCGGUCUGUUAAGUCAGCGGUGAAAGCCCGGGGCUCAACCCCGGCCCCGCCGUUGAAACGGGCAGUCUCGAGUUGGAGAGAAGUAGGCGGAAUGCGCGGUGUAGCGGUGAAAUGCAUAGAUAUCGCGCAGAACUCCGAUUGCGAAGGCAGCAUGCCGGCUCCACACUGACGCUGAGGCACGAAAGCGUGGGUAUCGAAUAGGAUUAGAUACCCCUGUAGUC
rnacentral:rRNA from 1 species